UGGCCAGACUCCUACGGGAGGCAGCAGUGAGGAAUAUUGGUCAAUGGGCGAGAGCCUGAACCAGCCAAGUCGCGUGAGGGAGUACUGCCCUAUGGGUUGUAAACCUCUUUUGUCGGGGAGCAAAAGCCGGACGUGUCCGGCUGUGAGAGUACCCGAAGAAAAAGCAUCGGCUAACUCCGUGCCAGCAGCCGCGGUAAUACGGAGGAUCCGAGCGUUAUCCGGAUUUAUUGGGUUUAAAGGGAGCGUAGGCGGGUUGUUAAGUCAGUUGUGAAAGUUUGCGGCUCAACCGUAAAAUUGCAGUUGAUACUGGCAUCCUUGAGUACAGUAGAGGUAGGCGGAAUUCGUGGUGUAGCGGUGAAAUGCUUAGAUAUCACGAAGAACUCCGAUUGCGAAGGCAGCCUGCUGGACUGUAACUGACGCUGAUGCUCGAAAGUGUGGGUAUCAAACAGGAUUAGAUACCCCGGUA
rnacentral:rRNA from 1 species